rnacentral:lncRNA from 1 species
AUAUAUAUAUAUAUAUAUAUAUCUUAGAGAAUUAGGCUACUAUACUAUUAAUAGUAUCAAGCGCUUGGUGCUGUUAGAUUUUGGCCCUUGGAUGAAGGGAUGUGUGGUUAGGAUAAUAAUAGUCUCCGCUUAGGAUGAUAGUGGUCUCCUAAAGUUGAGUGGGUGAUUGAUUGAAUAGUGUGAUUUGACGGAUGGAAAUGGUCAAAGGGGUAAAUUUAACGGUAGAAAACUCAAUAGCACUAAGUGCUUAGUACUAUCGUGGUAUAAUAGCUGGACUCUCUUUCUAUAUAUAGAGAGAGUCGGGCUGGAAUCUAUUAAUAGUACCAAACACUUUAUGUUAUCAAGUUUUCUACCAUUAGAUCUAUCUCUUCAUCAAUUCUACUCAUUAGAUUAUGCUAUUCUACUAACAAUCCACUAAACUAUAGCAGGGAGACCAAUAUUAAACCCUAGGGACCACUAUCAUUUCAAACUUAUAAUUUUUCAUCCAAGCGUUAUAAAAUUAGUAGUAAAAAGGAACAAAUAAUAUUAAUAGUAUUCCAGCACGCGCGCGCACGCGCAUGCGCGCGCGCGCGCGCGCACACACACACAUAUAUAUAUAGGGCGUGUUUGGCUCGAAGUCGGAGUCGGAAUCGGAAUCGGAAUCAAAAUAAGCUGGAAUCAGAAUCGGAAUGACUCAAUACCUAAUUCUGUUUGGUUCAACACCUGAAUCAGAAUCGGAAUAAAUCAUUCCCAUCGUCGGUGUUUGGUUCAGGUAGAUAUAAAAAAUAUAAUCAAAUUCAUAUACUAACAUUAUCUUUAUAAUAUAUUAAUUUAAAUUCAAAUUAAAAAUUAAAUAUUAAAAAUUUACAUCAAAAUUUUAAAAUAAUAUCAAAAUUUUAAAUCUAUUUUUUUUUAAAAAAAUUAAACUUUUA